CAAUCGAACGAUUGAUAAAUUAUUGUUAUUUCUAUUGAAUAAUAGAUUAUUGAAAAUACAAAAAGUAAAACGAUGAAAUGAAAAAUAAAAGAUUGAAAGAAAGAGAAAGAGAAACUGUAGGAUAGAAACAAAGUUUCAAAUUCAGCAAACAGAAGGAAACAUAGAAAAAUGUGAAACUACAGUGUCAACCGAUGGACGAUUGUGGACAAGAAAUGUUUUUGUUCAACAUCGAAAUGAUUCAUUAUUCACACAUUUUGAAUGCAAGUGUUAAAAAAAGAAUGUUAUUUUUUUGGUACCCAUCGUUGACAGUAUGCUUAAACUGUAGUUCGAGUGUGAGCUACAAAUUGAGCGAAUAUGUACACCGCAAGAAGCAAGCUAGUCAACUGACAUGGAAUUGAGUUUAUUGUUUGUUUUUCAUGAGCAGAUUCAACAAAGUUUGCACGGAAAACAAAGCAGAAAAAAAGACUAAACGUAUAAUGUCACUUUUAAAUGUUACAGUUAAACGAGCCAUUUAUGUUCAAGAUUUACCCGCAACGCAAUUCAAUACGUAUGUAAUACUAAAACUGCAAAAUGUGAAAUCAACCACAGUUACAGUUAAAGGGAACGAACCAUAUUGGGAACAAGACUUUCUUUU